GGAGGAAUAUUGGUCAAUGGUCGGGAGACUGAACCAGCCAAGCCGCGUGAGGGAUGAAGGUACAGAGUAUCGUAAACCUCUUUUGUCAGGGAACAAAAGGCGCCACGCGUGGCGCUCCGAGUGUACCUGAAGAAAAAGCAUCGGCUAACUCCGUGCCAGCAGCCGCGGUAAUACGGAGGAUGCGAGCGUUAUCCGGAUUUAUUGGGUUUAAAGGGUGCGUAGGCGGCGAGUUAAGUCAGCGGUAAAAGCCCCGGGGCUCAACCCCGGCCCGCCGUUGAAACUGGCUUGCUUGAGUUGGAGAGAAGUAGGCGGAAUGCGCGGUGUAGCGGUGAAAUGCUUAGAUAUCGCGCAGAACUCCGAUUGCGAAGGCAGCCUACCGGCUCCAGACUGACGCUGAGGCACGAAAGCGUGGGUAUCGAACAGGAUUAGAUACC
rnacentral:rRNA from 1 species